UUUUCAAUUUUAUUGUUUUCUAAUAGCGCAAGCAAAUUCCAGCAGAUUAUUGGAGCAUCAAUGUUAAAAUAAAUAUCUAGGAAAUGACAAUUAACAAAAAAAACUGUUGAAGGGGAGAUGGGGGUUGUGAGAACAAACCUAUCUGCACAAUUGCAAUGUAUAAUUAAGAUUGGACACAAAUUAAACACUCUAGUCGUGCAGCGUACAAAUACAAAUAGAAUGACCACCAACUUGAACAGGGAAAUAAAAAAAGCAUACGAUAUAAAAAGAAGUGUCGGAACGUUUGCUCUACAUGAACUUCUGUAACAAAAAAAUAGAGCUACAUAUGUCAGUUGGAUACGGCUAAACCCCUUUAGUCUUUACCUUUGUACUAUAAAGUUUUAAUUGAAAAGUUUUAAUUCAUACUACACUUAAUUUAUAUAAAGAAUACGAGCAUAAAAAUGUAACAACUUUGAAUAAUAAUGUAUACACAUCUACCGUUGGAAACGCUAAUGAAAACUUCAUUAUUGAUUUAAUAAAACAUCAAAACUAAUGCAUCGAAUUCGUCGUCAUUUCGCUAUAAAGGCGACUAGUGGCGUACUUUGCUUGUAAAAGCACUAGUGUUUCAGGUUCAAGUGAACAAGCAUCUAUGCAUUUUCCUGAAAAGAAAAAAUCUUAAUGAACAAGAAUUAUUAAAAAAAAAGAUAUUUUCUACCAAUGAACACAAAAGUAGAAUAUUGAAAACAACACGUUUAAUAUUUUCAUUGCGUCCGAAGCGCUUU
rnacentral:lncRNA from 1 species